rnacentral:pre_miRNA from 1 species
UCUUCAUUUCACACACUCUCUCAUCGGUCAGAGAGGCGAGAGAGUGUGUGAAAUGAAGAGA